CUUUUUUCAUUUGGGCGGGAACGCCAUUUUCCGCAUUUCUCCGGCUAUGUUUUCCCUCCCACUCCCUCCUCCCUGCUCUCCGUCUCCCGUCAUUUUUUUUUCUUUUUUCAAAUUUUCCGCUCUCCUCUAUCGCUUUCUCUCCCAGACCCAAAUCGCUGCUAUCGUCCCCGAUCUCGAUUCUUGAAACCCUAACCCUAAUCCCGGGCUCCCAUGGCUCCAAGAAAGCGCUCCUCGUCGUCGUCUUCCUCCUCCUCCUCCUCCGCCUUAAGGAAGGCGAACAACCAACCUUCCCAACCCUCUAAGUUCGGCAUCCAACACUUCUUCGAGCGCCACUCCCAGGCCGCGGCCUCCUCCUCCUCCUCCACCUCCCCUGCUCCUUCAAUCCGUGACCCUAACCCUAAUCCUAACCCUCCUCUCAUCCAUCUUUCCACCGCCGAUCCUCCGCCGCCUCCGCCCACUGUUGCAACGAACGGAGAAGGGACCUCGUCCGAGAUCUCGCCAGAGGCCACCAAAUCGGCCCCUCCCAAGAGAUUCAGAUUCUCCCCCGGGAUGCUCAUAAAGCAGAGCCAGGAUGAUGGGGCUGAUGAGAUCACGUGGAAGAUCUCCCCUGUGAAUGAACGGCUCUGUUCGCUCGCUUCCAAGAAUCAGCUGGGGAUGGCGAGAGUCCUCGCAGAUGUGUCAAGGCCGAAAGGCUCUACGUUUCACCCAUGCUCUCGGAAGGGGAACACUUCUUCCCUGAACGGAAAUAUCAAAGUCUGCCUCUCUACGCCAAAAACAACAUCAGAGGAUAGGCCUUUGAUGUCAUCAAGAAAAACCUCUAUUCAGUAUUCAGAGGUUUGCGAGAGCCGAGGGAGUAAUUGUGAUGCGAAGAAUGAUGGCACGGUAGACUUGAAGAGCCCGUUUAGGACUCCCCCCUCCUUAUCUUAUAUUACGAAUGAGUUAGUUAACGGGGUCACCUGCAAUGGAGGAGCGAACCAGUUGGCUCUUCGUCAACACAAAAAGGCAUUGCUUGAGCUACUGGAUCAAGUGGAAGAUGCAAUUAUGGAAGAACAAGUGCCCAGCGAUCCAAGGCAUCAUGGAGAGAAUGGUGGUAAUGAGGACAAGAUAAGGGAAGUGCCUGAUUUUGCUGAAAUAAGUGCUAAUACUUCAUCUAAGAAGCUCAGUGAUGCUCCUCCAUAUGAUACAUUUCUUGUUUUAGAGGUAUCAGAAAAACAUAGGAGUGGAGAUUCACCAUGUGGCCGUUAUCCUGUUAAGGUACUGCGUUUAUUAAAUGAACAGCGUGGGGAAGAGCGGGCUCUUUAUUUAUACGAUGAGUGGUUCUACAGCCUUAUUGGGGCUGGUGAUACUGUGAAUGUCGUUGGAGAAUUUAAUGACCAAGGAAAAUGCAUUGUCAAUCAUACUAAAAAUCUUGUCAUUGUUCAUCCAGAGAUUCUUAUAUCUGGAACACGGGUUGCUUCUAGCUUCAGUUGUCCUAGAAGAGUUGUCCUUGAUGAGAGAUUAAAAGCAACAGAACAUUCAAUCAGUGCUUUGAUUGGUACCUUGCUGCAUCAAAUCUUUCAGGCUGGGCUUCUUAAGGGUACGCCUUCGAAACUAUUUCUAGAAGAGUAUGCAGGAAAAGUGCUUCAGAAAAACAUUGAGAGUUUAUAUGCAUGUGGAGGAAAUGAGAAAGACAUGCAUACAACUCUUUUUGAAGCAAUUCCUCGAAUAUCAAACUGGUUGACAUGCUUUAGCACGGCAGAGGACUCCAAAAUUGCAACUAUUGAUUUUGGGCAUUGUGACGGAUCAAAGGCUGUUGGGAUAACUGAGGUUGUUGAUAUUGAAGAGAUGGCAUGGGCUCCAAGAUAUGGCUUAAAAGGAAUGAUUGAUGCUUCAGUUUGUGUCAAGAUCAAGUCAGACACUGGUGGUUCAUAUGAGAGACUGAUGCCGUUGGAGUUUAAGACUGGAAAAGGAACUACUGGUCAUUCUGCGAUGGAACACACAGCCCAGGUCAUAUUGUACACUCUUCUAAUGUCUGAAAGCAGAUACUCGAAGAAAGAUAUUGACUCAGGUCUUCUGUAUUACCUUCACACAGAUCAAACAAUGGGUAUCAAAGUUGAGAGAUCUGAUUUGGUUGGGUUAAUAAUGCGCCGAAAUGAGCUUGCAACUGAUAUAUUGAAGGCAUCAAAUACACAAAGUUUUCCUCCAAUGCUACAGAGUCCAACAAUGUGCAAAGGUUGUCGCCACCUAAAUAUCUGCACAGUGUAUCACAAGGCACAGGGAGGCAACAGUGAGAGCAGUGGCCUUGGUGAUGCUUUUGAUAGCCUUGUUAAUCACUUAUCUAGUGCUGACUUUAGUUUUCUCAAACAUUGGGAUCGAUUAAUUGAUCUGGAAGCUAAAGCAUCUCAGGUUGGAAAAAAAGGGUUCUUGCGACCACGUAGUUUAAAUGGCGAGAGCACCAGCACCAGCUUGUCUUCCAUCAUCCUUGAUGGUAGGAAUGAGGUAUCAGUAGAUGCAUCUGGUAAAAGUGACAGGUAUAUAUAUCAUUUUGUGCGUCAAAAGUUGCACCAUGAAGCAAAUGAUGGGGUGGAUUCUCCUGGACCUGGAGUGAACAACCUGGAUUGCGCCCUUCGUUCUGGAGAUUGUGUGGUACUUAGCACGGAAUCUGGGCAUAUUUUAAUUGCUCAAGGGGUCAUAAGUGACAUUAGUUGCCAUCACGUAUCAGUAUCUUUACCCCGUCCUCUAAGGCUUCCAGGAGGUGAUCCUUCAUUAGAGAUGAAAGAUCUCGAACAAGUAGUCUGGCGGAUCGACAAAGAUGAAGUAGCUUCCUCAUAUGCAAUUAUGAGGUUCAAUCUCAUACAACUGUUUGCUCAAAGGCCACAGAGUUCUCUUUUACGGCAGUUGAUCGUUGAUCUCGAGGCUCCCAGGUUUGAUACUGGUGGACUCUUUAGUCAAGACCCUGCAAUAUCAUAUGUAAGAUCAGAAAAGAGUCUAAAUGAUGACCAGCGGAGAUCAAUCCAGAAAAUACUGACGGCAAAAGAUUAUGCUCUUAUCCUAGGGAUGCCUGGAACAGGAAAAACAUUUACCAUGGUGCAUGCUGUAAAGGCAUUGUUGAUAAGAGGAGCUUCCAUUUUAAUUACAUCAUAUACUAAUGCUGCCAUUGAUAAUUUACUUAUUAAAUUGAAAUCUCAGGGUAUUGAUUUUGUGCGUAUUGGAAGGCAUGGAGCCGUGCACCAAGAUGUUCGUUCUCAUUGCUUUUCAGCAAUGGAGGCACAAUCUGUAGAUUACAUUAAACAGCGGAUGAAACACAUACAAAUUGUUGGGGUAACUUGCCUGGGAAUUAAUCAUCCCUUGCUAGCUAAAAAGAAGUUUGACAUCUGCAUUAUGGAUGAGGCUGGACAAACCACAUUACCAGUGUCACUAGGGCCGUUAAUGCUUGCAUCAAAGUUUGUUCUAGUUGGUGACCAUUACCAGCUUCCCCCGCUUGUUCAGAGCACCGAAGCUCAGGAGAGUGGAAUGGGCAUAAGCUUAUUUUGGAGAUUAUCUGAAGCACAUCCUCAGGCCAUUUCAGCCUUGCAAUGCCAGUACCGGAUGAGUGCUGGUAUUAUGGAGUUAUCGAAUGCACUAAUUUAUGGAAAUAGAUUGCGUUGUGGGUCUUCUGAAAUUGCAGAUGCCAAACUGAAAUAUUCGAGCAAUGAACCUGUGGCCUUAUGGCUAAAGGAGAUUAUGGAUCCUGACAGAUCUGCUGUCUUUGUGGACACAGACCAAUUGCCUGCUCCUGAGGAAAAAGAGCGUAAAGCUGUGAGCAAUCCUACUGAAGCAUAUAUUGUAUCGCAGGUCACCGUUGAAUUACUGAAGAGAGGCAUUACUGGAGAUGAAAUUGGUAUAAUCACCCCGUACAACUCACAGGCCAACAUCAUAAGGCAACUGAUUGAUACUUCUGUUGAAGUUCAUACGAUUGACAAAUACCAGGGAAGGGAUAAAGAUUGUGUCAUAGUAUCAUUUGUACGAUCUAGUAAGAAUGUGAAAGCUUGCACAUCAUCCUUGCUUGGAGAUUGGCACAGGAUCAAUGUUGUCCUUACACGCGCAAAAAAGAAGCUUAUUAUGGUUGGUUCUAGCAAAACUUUAUCAGGAAUUCCAUUGCUGAGGCUUCUACUUGAGAAGGUAAAUGAGCAAGAUGGCAUUGUACCUGUAACCAACAAAGAUGUUCAUUUCCUAAAAGAGCUAGGAAAGUGCUCUCAGAUGAAUGUACAGUGAUCCCUUAUAUCCACAAGUUCAUUUUGGAGAUUCCGGCUAGAACUUGUGAGUUAAAAGAAGCUCCAAGUUCUUUCCUUUUCAGUAGCCUUGAACUUCAGUGCUCUGGUCAAACUAAUGCGAGGUUUUACAUAGGGAACUAAAUGAGAAAUGGAAUAUGGAUGGAGGACAGGACAAGAGGCAGAGUUUGGGGCCAGGAUGAGGCCCAGGUUUAGGCACAGCCAUGGAUCUGACAGAGGAAUUCUUAGGCCUGACCCAUUCCCAGCCUUGACUGUUUGGGCCGGAAUUGCCCAGGCUUGUGCUCGCCACGCUGAAAGAGAGUGAUGUUAAUGAGCAAUAUCUCGGAACUUUGAUUAGUAUUAACGGAUCAACAGUGCCAUGCGAUGGUAAUAUCCUUGUAGUUUUGAAGCUCUGUGAUACUUUUUUACUGUAUAGAUAAACAUCUAACCAUCUUUUCCUCAUUUAUUUUCCCCUCUCUUAACCUUAUUAGUUCUUGCUAUUCCUUAAUGAAUGAAGUUAAUGAAUAUCAGUUCUUGCUAUUCCUUAA